ACGAAGGGUGCAAGCGUUAAUCGGAAUUACUGGGCGUAAAGCGUGCGUAGGCGGUACGUUAAGUCUGCCGUGAAAGCCCUGGGCUCAACCUGGGAACUGCGGUGGAUACUGGCGUGCUCGAGUGCGGUAGAGGAGGGUGGAAUUCCCGGUGUAGCGGUGAAAUGCGUAGAGAUCGGGAGGAACAUCAGUGGCGAAGGCGGCCCUCUGGACCAGCACUGACGCUGAGGCACGAAAGCGUGGGGAGCAAACAGGAUUAGAUACCCUGGUAGUCCACGCCCUAAACGAUGCGAACUGGAUGUUGGGCACAUUACGGUGCUCAGUGUCGAAGCUAACGCGUUAAGUUCGCCGCCUGGGGAGUACGGUCGCAAGACUG
rnacentral:rRNA from 1 species